UACGUAGGGUGCAAGCGUUGUCCGGAAUUACUGGGCGUAAAGCGUGCGCAGGCGGUUGUGUAAGACAGAUGUGAAAUCCCCGGGCUCAACCUGGGAACUGCAUUUGUGACUGCACAGCUGGAGUGCGGCAGAGGGGGAUGGAAUUCCGCGUGUAGCAGUGAAAUGCGUAGAUAUGCGGAGGAACACCGAUGGCGAAGGCAAUCCCCUGGGCCUGCACUGACGCUCAUGCACGAAAGCGUGGGGAGCAAACAGG
rnacentral:rRNA from 1 species